UACGUAGGGGGCAAGCGUUGUCCGGAUUUAUUGGGCGUAAAGAGCGUGUAGGCGGCCAGGCAGGUCCGCUGUGAAAACUCGAGGCUCAACCUCGAGAGGUCGGUGGAAACCGUCUGGCUAGAGUCCGGAAGAGGAGAGUGGAAUUCCCGGUGUAGCGGUGAAAUGCGUAGAGAUGUGGAGGAACACCGAUGGCGAAGGCAGCCCCCUGGGUAAAUACUGACGCUCAUGCACGAAAGCGUGGGGAGCAAACAGG
rnacentral:rRNA from 1 species